rnacentral:RNase_P_RNA from 1 species
CAGGUCGGCCAGGCGGUCGCGCCCCGCGAUUGACCCCCCGGGGCCAGGCGCGGGGUGAGGAAAGUCCGGGCUCCACAGGGCACGGUGCUGGGUAACACCCAGGCGGGGUAACCCGACGGAAAGGGCCACAGAAACAGACUGCCGGAGCGACUCGGUCGCUCCGGUGAUGGUGAAAAGGUGGUGUAAGAGACCACCGGCGCCUGGGGUGACCCGGGCGGCCAGGCAACCCCCACCGGGAGCAAGGCCAAGCAGGGGCAAGCGGCGUAAGGGUGCAAUUCAAUUGCACCCUCACACCCCACGGGGCGGCCCGUCCCGUCUGAGCCCCGGGUAGGCCGCUUGAGGCGGCGGGCAACCGUCGUCCCAGAUAGAUGACCGCCCUUGACAGAACCCGGCUUAUAGGCCGACCUGGGUG